CGUUCAACCGCAAAAGAAGCAGAGGGGGCUUAGUGGUGGGGUGACUGCGUACCUUUUGUAUAAUGGGUCAGCGACUUAUAUUCUGUAGCAAGGUUAACCGCAUAGGGGAGCCGGAGGGAAACCGAGUCUUAAUUGGGCGUUAAGUUGCAGGGUAUAGACCCGAAACCCGGUGAUCUAGCCAUGGGCAGGUUGAAGGUUGGGUAACACUAACUGGAGGACCGAACCGACUAAUGUUGAAAAAUUAGCGGAUGACCUGUGGCUGGGGGUGAAAGGCCAAUCAAACCGGGAGAUAGCUGGUUCUCCCCGAAAGCUAUUUAGGUAGCGCCUCGUGAACUCAUCUCCGGGGGUAGAGCACUGUUUCGGCUAGGGGGCCAUCCCGGCUUACCAACCCGAUGCAAACUGCGAAUACCGGAGAAUGUUAUCACGGGAGACACACGGCGGGUGCUAACGUCCGUCGUGAAGAGGGAAACAACCCAGACCGCCAGCUAAGGUCCCAAAGUCAUGGUUAAGUGGGAAACGAUGUGGGAAGGCCCAGACAGCCAGGAUGUUGGCUUAGAAGCAGCCAUCAUUUAAAGAAAGCGUAAUAGCUCACUGGUCGAGUCGGCCUGCGCGGAAGAUGUAACGGGGCUAAACCAUGCACCGAAGCUGCGGCAGCGACGCUGAUGCGUUGUUGGGUAGGGGAGCGUUCUGUAAGCCUGUGAAGGUGGCCUGUGAGGGUUGCUGGAGGUAUCAGAAGUGCGAAUGCUGACAUAAGUAACGAUAAAGCGGGUGAAAAGCCCGCUCGCCGGAAGACCAAGGGUUCCUGUCCAACGUUAAUCGGGGCAGGGUGAGUCGACCCCUAAGGCGAGGCCGAAAGGCGUAGUCGAUGGGAAACGGGUUAAUAUUCCCGUACUUGGUGUUACUGCGAAGGGGGGACGGAGAAGGCUAUGUUGGCCGGGCGACGGUUGUCCCGGUUUAAGCGUGUAGGUGUGUGUUCCAGGUAAAUCCGGUUCACUUUAACACUGAGGCGUGAUGACGAGGCACUACGGUGCUGAAGCAACAAAUGCCCUGCUUCCAGGAAAAGCCUCUAAGCAUCAGGUAACAUCAAAUCGUACCCCAAACCGACACAGGUGGUCAGGUAGAGAAUACCAAGGCGCUUGAGAGAACUCGGGUGAAGGAACUAGGCAAAAUGGUGCCGUAACUUCGGGAGAAGGCACGCUGACACGUAGGUGAAGUGAUUUACUCACGGAGCUGAAGUCAGUCGAAGAUACCAGCUGGCUGCAACUGUUUAUUAAAAACACAGCACUGUGCAAACACGAAAGUGGACGUAUACGGUGUGACGCCUGCCCGGUGCCGGAAGGUUAAUUGAUGGGGUCAGCGCAAGCGAAGCUCCUGAUCGAAGCCCCGGUAAACGGCGGCCGUAACUAUAACGGUCCUAAGGUAGCGAAAUUCCUUGUCGGGUAAGUUCCGACCUGCACGAAUGGCGUAAUGAUGGCCAGGCUGUCUCCACCCGAGACUCAGUGAAAUUGAACUCGCUGUGAAGAUGCAGUGUACCCGCGGCAAGACGGAAAGACCCCGUGAACCUUUACUAUAGCUUGACACUGAACAUUGAGCCUUGAUGUGUAGGAUAGGUGGGAGGCUUUGAAGUGUGGACGCCAGUCUGCAUGGAGCCGACCUUGAAAUACCACCCUUUAAUGUUUGAUGUUCUAACGUGGACCCGUGAUCCGGGUUGCGGACAGUGUCUGGUGGGUAGUUUGACUGGGGCGGUCUCCUCCUAAAGAGUAACGGAGGAGCACGAAGGUUGGCUAAUCCUGGUCGGACAUCAGGAGGUUAGUGCAAUGGCAUAAGCCAGCUUGACUGCGAGCGUGACGGCGCGAGCAGGUGCGAAAGCAGGUCAUAGUGAUCCGGUGGUUCUGAAUGGAAGGGCCAUCGCUCAACGGAUAAAAGGUACUCCGGGGAUAACAGGCUGAUACCGCCCAAGAGUUCAUAUCGACGGCGGUGUUUGGCACCUCGAUGUCGGCUCAUCACAUCCUGGGGCUGAAGUAGGUCCCAAGGGUAUGGCUGUUCGCCAUUUAAAGUGGUACGCGAGCUGGGUUUAGAACGUCGUGAGACAGUUCGGUCCCUAUCUGCCGUGGGCGCUGGAGAACUGAGGGGGGCUGCUCCUAGUACGAGAGGACCGGAGUGGACGCAUCACUGGUGUUCGGGUUGUCAUGCCAAUGGCACUGCCCGGUAGCUAAAUGCGGAAGAGAUAAGUGCUGAAAGCAUCUAAGCACGAAACUUGCCCCGA
rnacentral:rRNA from 1 species